GCUCCGGGGUCCCCGGGGUCCGGGUGAGGGCGAGUAUCCUGCCCAGCCCUCCUCCCGCCUGCUCUCCCGAGUUCCCGUAACUUCCCUGCGUCCCGAGGCCCAGCAAUCCUGCCAAGACCCCCGGAGCGUCAGGAGCAGCUGGCUAGUGCGCAGCGGACGCCCUGCCCGGGUCCACAGAGGAGACGGUGCAAAGCGAGGGUGGGGGUCGGGGGGAGGAGUGUCCCUGCGGCAGCCCCGGAGCCACAGCGCCCUCUCUGGGCGGUGACGGAGUUUUCCCAGAUGGCGGAUGAGUGGGGUCCGGACCCACGGAUCCUCGGGGAGCGGAGGUCAGGCACCGGGGCGGCCCGGGUCCCCACUGCGGGCGCACCUUUGUGGCGGAUGCUGCGCUUCCAGUCCUUGGCCGUCUCGCGGCCGCUGACGAACUGGAAUUCGUUGGGGGUGACAAAGGUGAGACACAGAAAAGUCAAGUAACACUCCUGAUGUCACCCGGCUGUUUCACAUCCAGUACAAACAGUAUCUGCGCCAAGGUGUGGGGCAAGAAGACCCACUGCCCACUCAUCCUCAGCUGAGGCACCAAGACCAGCGUGCGGAUGGCGGUCUGGGGUCAGACCAGGAACUGACUGGUCAGUGCACCCGAACUUCUGCACCCCUUCUGUUUCCUCCACUCCCGGUACAUCUGUCUGCUGAUGGGAAAAUUGUGGCUCUGCAUCUCCAGCUUCAGCCCAAACACUCAAGAGUCUACAGCUUGCCAUGUGCGUCCACUCACAGUCCCUACAGCCCUUGCCCUUCACUAGGUCGCCUCACCACCGGGCCCCCAGUCACCAGAGAACUGCACUCACUUGGACUCCCCCCUGUGCUCCCUCCCAGGCCCCUCUCACCCCUCACUCCUUCCAUGAUAGCCCCAGACUCUGUCCAACUCAACUAGCGACUGAUGGGCACAUCGGCCUCUCUGCUUUCCAGGGCCUCCUCCGGGAACAGUCCGGGCUCCCUGCCCUCCAGGCCUUGCCUGGGCCCAGGAGCCCAGUCCCCAACAUCACUAUUCUGCACCCACUCAGGGCCCCAUUACAACUAGUGUAGUACCUUGCUUUUGCGAGCCUCCUCCAUUAAAAUGUGUAAAUUCUA